UACGAGAGGUCCAAACGUUAUUCGGAAUUACUGGGCUUACAGAGUUCGUAGGCGGCUCUACAAGUGAGGUGUGAAAGCCCUCGGCUCAACCGAGGAACUGCGCUUCAAACUGUAGAACUAGAGGGAGAUAGAGGUGAGCAGAACUGAUGGUGGAGCGGUGAAAUGCGUAGAUAUCUGGAGGAACACCGGUGGCGAAGGCGGCGUCCUGGACCAACACUGACACUGAGGAGCGAAAGCCAGGGGAGCAAACGGG
rnacentral:rRNA from 1 species